GACGGAGGAUGCAAGUGUUAUCCGGAAUUACUGGGCGUAAAGCGUCUGUAGGUGGUUCAAUAAGUCAACUGUUAAAUCUUGAGGCUCAACUUCAAAAUCGCAGUCGAAACUAUUGGACUCGAGUAUAGUAGGGGUAAAGGGAAUUUCCAGUGGAGCGGUGAAAUGCGUUGAGAAGAUUGGAAAAGAACACCAAUGGCGAAAGCACUUUACUGGGCUAUUACUGACACUGAGAGACGGAAAG
rnacentral:rRNA from 1 species